GAAGCGAAAAUUUAGUGCAGGGGCAAAAUGGUAAUUUUAAAACUUUUUCAAAAUUACUAUUUUACAGUGAAAUUAUUAAUUAAUCUCAUUAAUUAAUACUAAUUAACCCUACACUAGGAUCUAAAUAUGAUACAACAGCAUGCAUUUAAAUUUAAAAUUCAAAUUUGAAUCAGUAAACAUUUUACAGUACUGUGUUCAGAACACAUCACCUUUUGCGGGUAGUCGAUCACCGCAAUCUGAUCACCAUCGGAGGGCUCUGAUCAUCACGUCGUAGCCACCCAACUGUCUGGCCUCUGCGGAUCGUUCACAUGAAGCUCCCGUCUGAUCAGCUCCUCACGAAUGCUAGUUCGUGAUUUCACCCUUUUGAUGGCAGAUGUUGAUCGAACUCCUUCGAUCGAUGUGUGCCGACUUCUCAGACACUCUGGAUCAUCUGCACAGUUACUUAAGAGGCUGAUGGAUCUCUCUCUAAAAUUUGGUGGACUCACAACACUCGUGGCACACCAAUCUCACUUCCCGAACCCUAGGUAGAAACCCUAGGGUACACACCAAAAACCCUGCGCCCAAUUUUUUCUCUUUUCUUUCUUUUUCUCUCAGAAGGUUUUGGACCUUCACCUUGUGCAGAAGCCUUCCUC
rnacentral:lncRNA from 1 species